rnacentral:rRNA from 1 species
UACGGGGGGAGCAAGCGUUGUUCGGAAUUACUGGGCGUAAAGGGCUCGUAGGCGGCCAACUAAGUCAGACGUGAAAUCCCCAGGCUCAACCUGGGAACUGCGUCUGAUACUGGAUGGCUUGAAUCCGGGAGAGGGAUGCAGAAUUCCAGGUGUAGCGGUGAAAUGCGUAGAUAUCUGGAGGAAUACCGGUGGCGAAGGCGGCAUCCUGGACCGGCAUUGACGCUGAGGAGCGAAAGCUAGGGGAGCAAACGGG